rnacentral:rRNA from 1 species
GGGUUGUGAGGUUAAGCGACUAAGCGUACACGGUGGAUGCCCUGGCAGUCAGAGGCGAUGAAGGACGUGCUAAUCUGCGAUAAGCGUCGGUAAGGUGAUAUGAACCGUUAUAACCGGCGAUUUCCGAAUGGGGAAACCCAGUGUGUUUCGACACACUAUCAUUAACUGAAUCCAUAGGUUAAUGAGGCGAACCGGGGGAACUGAAACAUCUAAGUACCCCGAGGAAAAGAAAUCAACCGAGAUUCCCCCAGUAGCGGCGAGCGAACGGGGAGCAGCCCAGAGCCUGAAUCAGUGUGUGUGUUAGUGGAAGCGUCUGGAAAGGCGUGCGAUACAGGGUGACAGCCCCGUACACAAAAAUGCACAUGCUGUGAGCUCGAUGAGUAGGGCGGGACACGUGGUAUCCUGUCUGAAUAUGGGGGGACCAUCCUCCAAGGCUAAAUACUCCUGACUGACCGAUAGUGAACCAGUACCGUGAGGGAAAGGCGAAAAGAACCCCGGCGAGGGGAGUGAAAAAGAACCUGAAACCGUGUACGUACAAGCAGUGGGAGCACGCUUAGGCGUGUGACUGCGUACCUUUUGUAUAAUGGGUCAGCGACUUAUAUUCUGUAGCAAGGUUAACCGAAUAGGGGAGCCGAAGGGAAACCGAGUCUUAACUGGGCGUUAAGUUGCAGGGUAUAGACCCGAAACCCGGUGAUCUAGCCAUGGGCAGGUUGAAGGUUGGGUAACACUAACUGGAGGACCGAACCGACUAAUGUUGAAAAAUUAGCGGAUGACUUGUGGCUGGGGGUGAAAGGCCAAUCAAACCGGGAGAUAGCUGGUUCUCCCCGAAAGCUAUUUAGGUAGCGCCUCGUGAAUUCAUCUCCGGGGGUAGAGCACUGUUUCGGCAAGGGGGUCAUCCCGACUUACCAACCCGAUGCAAACUGCGAAUACCGGAGAAUGUUAUCACGGGAGACACACGGCGGGUGCUAACGUCCGUCGUGAAGAGGGAAACAACCCAGACCGCCAGCUAAGGUCCCAAAGUCAUGGUUAAGUGGGAAACGAUGUGGGAAGGCCCAGACAGCCAGGAUGUUGGCUUAGAAGCAGCCAUCAUUUAAAGAAAGCGUAAUAGCUCACUGGUCGAGUCGGCCUGCGCGGAAGAUGUAACGGGGCUAAACCAUGCACCGAAGCUGCGGCAGCGACGCUGAUGCGUUGUUGGGUAGGGGAGCGUUCUGUAAGCCUGCGAAGGUGUGCUGUGAGGCAUGCUGGAGGUAUCAGAAGUGCGAAUGCUGACAUAAGUAACGAUAAAGCGGGUGAAAAGCCCGCUCGCCGGAAGACCAAGGGUUCCUGUCCAACGUUAAUCGGGGCAGGGUGAGUCGACCCCUAAGGCGAGGCCGAAAGGCGUAGUCGAUGGGAAACAGGUUAAUAUUCCUGUGCUUGGUGUUACUGCGAAGGGGGGACGGAGAAGGCUAUGUUGGCCGGGCGACGGUUGUCCCGGUUUAAGCGUGUAGGCUGGUUUUCCAGGCAAAUCCGGAAAAUCAAGGCUGAGGCGUGAUGACGAGGCACUACGGUGCUGAAGCAACAAAUGCCCUGCUUCCAGGAAAAGCCUCUAAGCAUCAGGUAACAUCAAAUCGUACCCCAAACCGACACAGGUGGUCAGGUAGAGAAUACCAAGGCGCUUGAGAGAACUCGGGUGAAGGAACUAGGCAAAAUGGUGCCGUAACUUCGGGAGAAGGCACGCUGAUAUGUAGGUGAAGUCCCUCGCGGAUGGAGCUGAAAUCAGUCGAAGAUACCAGCUGGCUGCAACUGUUUAUUAAAAACACAGCACUGUGCAAACACGAAAGUGGACGUAUACGGUGUGACGCCUGCCCGGUGCCGGAAGGUUAAUUGAUGGGGUCAGCGCAAGCGAAGCUCUUGAUCGAAGCCCCGGUAAACGGCGGCCGUAACUAUAACGGUCCUAAGGUAGCGAAAUUCCUUGUCGGGUAAGUUCCGACCUGCACGAAUGGCGUAAUGAUGGCCAGGCUGUCUCCACCCGAGACUCAGUGAAAUUGAACUCGCUGUGAAGAUGCAGUGUACCCGCGGCAAGACGGAAAGACCCCGUGAACCUUUACUAUAGCUUGACACUGAACAUUGAGCCUUGAUGUGUAGGAUAGGUGGGAGGCUUUGAAGUGUGGACGCCAGUCUGCAUGGAGCCGACCUUGAAAUACCACCCUUUAAUGUUUGAUGUUCUAACGUGGACCCGUNNUGGUCGGACAUCAGGAGGUUAGUGCAAUGGCAUAAGCCAGCUUGACUGCGAGCGUGACGGCGCGAGCAGGUGCGAAAGCAGGUCAUAGUGAUCCGGUGGUUCUGAAUGGAAGGGCCAUCGCUCAACGGAUAAAAGGUACUCCGGGGAUAACAGGCUGAUACCGCCCAAGAGUUCAUAUCGACGGCGGUGUUUGGCACCUCGAUGUCGGCUCAUCACAUCCUGGGGCUGAAGUAGGUCCCAAGGGUAUGGCUGUUCGCCAUUUAAAGUGGUACGCGAGCUGGGUUUAGAACGUCGUGAGACAGUUCGGUCCCUAUCUGCCGUGGGCGCUGGAGAACUGAGGGGGGCUGCUCCUAGUACGAGAGGACCGGAGUGGACGCAUCACUGGUGUUCGGGUUGUCAUGCCAAUGGCACUGCCCGGUAGCUAAAUGCGGAAGAGAUAAGUGCUGAAAGCAUCUAAGCACGAAACUUGCCCCGAGAUGAGUUCUCCCUGACUCCUUGAGAGUCCUGAAGGAACGUUGAAGACGACGACGUUGAUAGGCCAGGUGUGUAAGCGCAGCGAUGCGUUGAGCUAACCGGUACUAAUGAACCGUGAGGCUUAACCUUACAACGCCGAAGCUGUU